AGUCGAGGGGUAUAGGUUUUCGGACCUAGAGACCGGCGCACGGGUGCGUAACGCGUAUGCAAUCUACCUUUCACAGAGGGAUAGCCCAGAGAAAUUUGGAUUAAUACCUCAUAGUAUAAUGACUCGGCAUCGAGUUAUUAUUAAAGUCACAACGGUGAAAGAUGAGCAUGCGUCCCAUUAGUUAGUUGGUAAGGUAACGGCUUACCAAGACUACGAUGGGUAGGGGUCCUGAGAGGGAGAUCCCCCACACUGGUACUGAGACACGGACCAGACUCCUACGGGAGGCAGCAGUGAGGAAUAUUGGACAAUGGGCGCAAGCCUGAUCCAGCCAUGCCGCGUGCAGGAUGACGGUCCUAUGGAUUGUAAACUGCUUUUAUACGAGAAGAAACACUACUUCGUGAAGUAGCUUGACGGUAUCGUAAGAAUAAGGAUCGGCUAACUCCGUGCCAGCAGCCGCGGUAAUACGGAGGAUCCAAGCGUUAUCCGGAAUCAUUGGGUUUAAAGGGUCCGUAGGCGGUUUAGUAAGUCAGUGGUGAAAGCCCAUCGCUCAACGGUGGAACGGCCAUUGAUACUGCUAGACUUGAAUUAUUAGGAAGUAACUAGAAUAUGUAGUGUAGCGGUGAAAUGCUUAGAGAUUACAUGGAAUACCAAUUGCGAAGGCAGGUUACUACUAAUGGAUUGACGCUGAUGG
rnacentral:rRNA from 1 species